rnacentral:lncRNA from 1 species
AUGGCUGGCAAUGUGUUGCUAGAUAACCAUCCGGUUGAAAUAUUAGCUUCUCCCCUCGUGCAAAUGAAGCCUAUAGUCGUGAGGGGAACGUUAUCAACAUUUUUAUAUAUAACAAGUUUUUUUUCCAGUGCAGUGAUGCGGUUUGUUCUGCUGCUCCACUUGUGCCUCGGCAUAUGUGCGGCCAGUCCUGGCAGGACGUUUCUGAUGAUGUUUCCCCCUCAUAAUGACCCAGCAGCAAAUGUUAGCCAUCAAGUAACAAUCAUCGCCACUGGUGUUUGGACCUCAGUCACUGUUAAGGUUCUGGAAACCAGCUUUGUGCGACGCAUUGUCCUCUCUGCUAGUCAGUCAAAAACAAUACACCUGCCAUUGUCUGUGGGAACGGCCAGUGCUCGCUCCCCCUACCUCCUCAGUGUGAUGUCUGUGAAGCCCGUUUCAGUCCUUGCCUCAUUCUGCACCCAGACUGGCUGUGACCAUAGCCUGCUCCAUGAUGUGUCCGCCUGGGGGACCCACUACUAUCCCGUUACUCCUCAGUUCCCUAACCAGACUGCUGUCAGCCAUAUGGUGAUCACCAGCGCAGACCAUGAGACAUCGGUGGAAGUCCUCCUCUCGGGGGAAGUGCUCUUUAAUGGCAAUAUGUAUCCCAGUGGUAGUGUCCUUAAAUUGAACAUUGGUUCAUUGCAGAGUGUUUACCUCAAGAGCAACACCAGCCUUUCUGGCUCAGAGUUAAAUUCCCAAGAAGCUGUGGGUGUUGUGGUUGGUUUCACCUGCUCCAAACACAGACCUGGGGAUUGUGUGUAUGGAUUUGCAGAACUGAAACCAGUCUCUCGGUGGGGUGUUGAUUACGUUCUCCUUCCCUUUGUAAACACAGAAAGGAGUUCCAGUGUCAUGUUGGCAAUGGCGACUAUCAACUCUAAUCUGAACAUCACCACCAGCACCGGACAAAAUAAUUUGUCUCUAGUCGGUGGUGUUAUGAAGGUCAUCCCAGUUUUGACCUCAGAUAAAAUCCACAUUACUAGCGACAAUCCUCUUCAAAUUAUUAACUUCAGAUAUGACGAUGGACAGAGGUUUUCAACACUAACCGUACUCCCGUCUGCAGAGGAUAUCUGCCAGUCUGUACCUAUAUUUGAUUCAGGUGAUAUGGAUCUGCAGGAAGAUAACCGUGCUCACACAGGAGAUUUGAAGUCUGGUGUUAAAUUCUCCCAGAAGGCCCACUUAACUCAGCCGUCUGAUAAUGCAGAGCUCAGUCCUGCUCAAACAGACACAGAUGUGGGGCGUUACCUGAGUGCCAUGAACAAACUACACUCAGCAAUGUGUGAGAAAAGUAUGUAUUGA